rnacentral:lncRNA from 1 species
UGGGGUAAUCAUGUUCUGAGUCAUAAGGGUUACAAAUGAGCCUUAUGAUGAGAGAACGCCUCAUGUUCCAGAUCCUAUAUCGCAGGUUUGCAUGUUGUGUUUUAACUCAAGGAAGGAUACAUAUAUAUAUAUUCCUAAACACUGUUUUUUUUUUUUUCUUGGAUUGUUUCACUGAUCACUUACGUACCUAUUAGGACCAAUAAUAGCUUGAAGAUGGGGCUGAUGGUUACCUUCAGUCCAAAUUUUAUAAGUGAAGGUAAGAUGAGAGAUGAAGCUGUUGCAGACCAAAUCUAGAGGGAGUAAGUGCAUUUAAAUAGCAAAUGGUUACUGUUUUUUACCGCAUUGAACAGAUCAAGCAAGUUGCAUGGGCUAUAUCCCAAUUUAGAGGGAAGAGUAACACACACGUGCAUAACGUGUUAUUGGGGAGUUAUUGGGGAAAGCGAACUGAUUCUAGAAUAUUGAGUGCCAAGCAACUGUUGGAGCUGUGCGGGACGAAUAAGAUUCCAUGUAUUCUGCUACCGAGAGAGGUAGAUAUGUCUUCCACUACAGCUGAAAAACACGUUUGUACCUUUGUACUUCUUAAUGUCAUGUGUU